GACGAACGCUGGCGGCGUGCUUAACACAUGCAAGUCGAACGGAAAGGCCCUGCUUUUGUGGGGUGCUCGAGUGGCGAACGGGUGAGUAACACGUGAGUAACCUGCCCUUGACUUUGGGAUAACUUCAGGAAACUGGGGUUAAUACUGGAUAGGAGCUCCUGCUGCAUGGGGGGGGGUGGAAAGUUUCGGCGGUUGGGGAUGGACUCGCGGCUUAUCAGCUUGUUGGUGGGGUAGUGGCUUACCAAGGCUUUGACGGGUAGCCGGCCUGAGAGGGUGACCGGCCACAUUGGGACUGAGAUACGGCCCAGACUCCUACGGGAGGCAGCAGUGGGGAAUAUUGCACAAUGGGCGGAAGCCUGAUGCAGCAACGCCGCGUGCGGGAUGACGGCCUUCGGGUUGUAAACCGCUUUCGCCUGUGACGAAGCGUGAGUGACGGUAAUGGGUAAAGAAGCACCGGCUAACUACGUG
rnacentral:rRNA from 1 species